rnacentral:rRNA from 1 species
UACAGAGGGGGCAAGCGUUGUUCGGAAUUACUGGGCGUAAAGGGCGCGUAGGCGGCCCGCUAAGUCGAACGUGAAAUCCCCGAGCUCAACUCGGGAACUGCGUCCGAUACUGGCGGGCUUGAAUCCGGGAGAGGGAUGCGGAAUUCCAGGUGUAGCGGUGAAAUGCGUAGAUAUCUGGAGGAACACCGGUGGCGAAGGCGGCAUCCUGGACCGGCAUUGACGCUGAACAGCGAAAGCUAGGGGAGCAAACGGG